AUACGGAGGGGGCAAGCGUUGUUCGGAUUUACUGGGCGUAAAGCGCACGUAGGCGGCAGAGUAAGUCAAAGGUGAAAGCCCUCGGCUCAACCGAGGAACUGCCUUUGAAACUGCCCUGCGUGAGUCCGGGAGGGGGGAGCGGAAUUCCCAGUGUAGCGGUGAAAUGCGUAGAUACUGGGAGGAACACCGGUGGCGAAGGCGGCUCCCUGGACCGGUACUGACGCUGAGGUGCGAAAGCGUGGGGAGCAAACAGGAUUAGAAACCCCAGUAGUCC
rnacentral:rRNA from 1 species